AUUGAACGCUGGCGGCAUGCUUUACACAUGCAAGUCGAACGGCAGCACGGGGGCAACCCUGGUGGCGAGUGGCGAACGGGUGAGUAACACAUCGGAACGUGUCCAGUUGUGGGGGAUAACCCAUCGAAAGGUGGGCUAAUACCGCAUGAUCUGGCAACAGCAAAGCAGGGGACUCGAAAGGGCCUUGUGCGAUUGGAGCGGCCGAUGUCCGAUUAGCUAGUUGGUGGGGUAAAGGCCCACCAAGGCGACGAUCGGUAGCUGGUCUGAGAGGAUGAUCAGCCACACUGGGACUGAGACACGGCCCAGACUCCUACGGGAGGCAGCAGUGGGGAAUUUUGGACAAUGGGGGCAACCCUGAUCCAGCCAUGCCGCGUGAGUGAAGAAGGCCUUCGGGUUGUAAACCCCUUUCGGGAGGGAAGAUGGGAUGGGGUAACCCAUUCGGACGGUACCUCCAGAAGCAGCCACGGCUAACUUCGUGC
rnacentral:rRNA from 1 species